AUAUUUCUGAAAUACUCGCUAAGCUCUUAUUUUGAACCUACAUUUAAUUUAAGGGAAUCCAAUAAUUAGAUGAAGAAAUGUACUUUCUUGUGAGUCCUUUUACUGCAUUGAAGGCGAUUGAGGCAUUUAUGAGGAUACCCACCUAUGGAGACAUAGGUGUCAAAAUUAGAGUACCGAUAUUUUGGAUAUUGU
rfam:Clostridium carboxidivorans P7 ctg00171, whole genome shotgun sequence.